rnacentral:rRNA from 1 species
CGGUGGACGGGUGAGUAACGCGUGGGCAACCUGCCUCACACAGGGGGAUAACAGUUAGAAAUGACUGCUAAUACCGCAUAAGACCACGAAACCGCAUGGUUUUGAGGUAAAAACUCCGGUGGUGUGAGAUGGGCCCGCGUCUGAUUAGGUAGUUGGUGCGGUAACGGCGCACCAAGCCGACGAUCAGUAGCCGACCUGAGAGGGUGACCGGCCACAUUGGGACUGAGACACGGCCCAAACUCCUACGGGAGGCAGCAUG